UACGUAGGGACCAAGCGUUGUUCGGAUUUACUGGGCGUAAAGCGCACGUAGGCGGAUCGUUAAGUCGGGGGUGAAAUCCUGGAGCUCAACUCCAGAACUGCCUUCGAUACUGGCGAUCUAGAGUCCGGAAGAGGUGAGUGGAACUCCUAGUGUAGAGGUGGAAUUCGUAGAUAUUAGGAAGAACACCAGUGGCGAAGGCGGCUCACUGGUCCGGUACUGACGCUGAGGUGCGAAAGCGUGGGGAGCAAACAGG
rnacentral:rRNA from 1 species